UACGUAGGGAGCGAGCGUUGUCCGGAUUUAUUGGGCGUAAAGCGCGCGUAGGCGGUUUGGUAAGCCGGGUGUGAAACCCUCGAGCUCAACUCGGGGCGGCCACUCGGAACUGUCAUGACUCGAGUCAGGUAGGGGAACACGGAAUUCCAGGUGUAGCGGUGAAAUGCUUAGAUAUCUGGAGGAACACCAGUGGCGAAGGCGGUGUUCUGGGCCUGUACUGACGCUGAUGCGCGAAAGCGUGGGGAGCGAACAGG
rnacentral:rRNA from 1 species